rnacentral:rRNA from 1 species
AGAUUGAACGCUGGCGGCAUGCUUUACACAUGCAAGUCGAACGGUAACAGGUCUUCGGAUGCUGACGAGUGGCGAACGGGUGAGUAAUACAUCGGAACGUGCCUAGUAGUGGGGGAUAACUACUCGAAAGAGUAGCUAAUACCGCAUGAGAUCUACGGAUGAAAGCAGGGGACCUUCGGGCCUUGUGCUACUAGAGCGGCUGAUGGCAGAUUAGGUAGUUGGUGGGGUAAAGGCUUACCAAGCCUGCGAUCUGUAGCUGGUCUGAGAGGACGACCAGCCACACUGGGACUGAGACACGGCCCAGACUCCUACGGGAGGCAGCAGUGGGGAAUUUUGGACAAUGGGCGAAAGCCUGAUCCAGCAAUGCCGCGUGCAGGAUGAAGGCCCUCGGGUUGUAAACUGCUUUUGUACGGAACGAAAAGCCUGGGGCUAAUAUCCCCGGGUCAUGACGGUACCGUAAGAAUAAGCACCGGCUAACUACGUGCCAGCAGCCGCGGUAAUACGUAGGGUGCAAGCGUUAAUCGGAAUUACUGGGCGUAAAGCGUGCGCAGGCGGUUUUGUAAGACAGUGGUGAAAUCCCCGGGCUCAACCUGGGAACUGCCAUUGUGACUGCAAGGCUAGAGUGCGGCAGAGGGGGAUGGAAUUCCGCGUGUAGCAGUGAAAUGCGUAGAUAUGCGGAGGAACACCGAUGGCGAAGGCAAUCCCCUGGGCCUGCACUGACGCU